GCGUCGAAGGCGGGAAUACUGCCCUCCGAAGGCAGGGGUUGCUGGUUCGAUCCCAGCCGGGCGCGCCA
rnacentral:tRNA from 1 species